GCCUCUUAUGAAUAGGGAGCAACCCCAGGUUGGUUCAAGUCUUGCUCUCAUCUCAUCUUGGCAGAUAUUAAAACUAGAGACAAGAGAAAAAAAACGAUGAAGGUUGUUUACCUUUUCUGCCUGCUGUUCUUCAUGGCAGUCGUCCUUCCGUGGGGAGCGGCCCAAGUGAGUGGUGGCCAAGCCUGUCUCCACAAGCAGGGGACUUGCCGUCGAAGAUGCGGUCGGAAUCAGGUUCCCUCUGGAAGGUGUUUCCGACGCGUCUUCUGUUGCAUUUCCAGGGGCUUCAAAUGAAGAACCAACCGAGCGGAGAUUCGGGAGACCCUGGCUGGUAGUGAUUCCAGCAGGGAAAGACACUGUCUCCGAAUUAAUGGUUUCGCCAUUCUUAGCAUAUCUCCCUUGCUUCCAUUAAAAUUCCCCUUGCAUCUACUUCA